GGGGGUGUGUUGGAACUGGUAGACAAGAUGGACUCAAAAUCCAUUGCUUCACGGCGUAACGGUUCGAGUCCGUUCACCCCUACCA
rnacentral:tRNA from 1 species